CAGCACCUCAAGUGGUCAGGAUGAUUAUUGGGCCUAAAGCAUCCGUAGCCGGCGCUGUAAGUUUUCGGUUAAAUCUGUAUGCUCAACAUACAGGCUGCCGGGAAUACUGCAGAGCUAGGGAGUGGGAGAGGUAGACGGUACUCGGUAGGAAGGGGUAAAAUCCUUUGAUCUAUUGAUGACCACCUGUGGCGAAGGCAGUCUACCAGAACACGUCCGACGGUGAGGGAUGAAAGCUGGGGGAGCAAACCGGAUUAGAUACCCGAGUAGUCC
rnacentral:rRNA from 1 species